rnacentral:sRNA from 1 species
GCUGGGCAUGGUGGCGGGUGCCUGUAAUCCCAGCUACUCAGGAGGCUGAGGCAGGAGAAUCGCCUGAACCCGGGAGGCGGAGGUUGCGGUGAGCCGAGAUUGCGCCAUUGCACUCCAGCCUGGGUAACAAGAGCGAAACUCCGUCUCAAAAAAAAAAAAGAAAUGAGUCUCUCCUCAUCUGGAGUACAGUAGCACCAUCUCGGCUCGCUGCAAUCUCUACCUCCCAGCUUCAAGCGAUUCUCCUGCCUCA